AAUCCCUAGCACCCUCCAUUCCCCAUCGGGCCUGGCAACACCUCUCCUUCCCCCGUCUCCUUCUCCACCACCGGCCGCCGCCGCGGCCAGGCCGGCGUGGCGGUGCGCCUUCCAGCCAUCCACCGUGCCCUCUCUACCAGCCGCCGCAUCACCACCUCCAACACCACCGCGCCGCUGCCACAGCACCAACCACAUCCAACGCCUCCCUCCAGCCCGCGCGACCCUGCCUCGCCCUGCUUCUUCUUCCCCUCGACCUCCUGCUACUACUACUCCCUCUCUCCAUCGCCUUGCUGCUGCUCUGAAUCUCCCUCACCUGCUGCUGCGCCUUCUCUCUUCCUCCCCUACCGCUGCUGCUCAUCUCUCCGCUCCUCCUCCUAAUCUUCUUCCCCAUCCCUACUGCUUCUUCUUCUUCCCUUGUCCCGCUUCUCCUCUUCUCCAAGCCCCACUGCUGCUCCCUUCUUCUUGCGCCCCUGCUACUCCUCCUCCUCCUCUCUCCAUCCCCACGUUACCGCUGCUUAUUCUUGCGACUUCCUGCUCCCUUCGCCUUCCUUGCUGCUCCCUGCCUCUUCUCUGAACCUUUUGCUGCUGCUUAUCUCUCUCUCUGAAUUUUCUGUAAUUGGAGAUGUGUAGUACUUGUAAGGUUCAGAUUCUGAUAAGUGUUUGCAACCAACUAGUUUGUUCAGUUCGUACUUGUUAAAUAUCAUGUCAUAAAUUCUAUGUUCUGAAUAGUGGAUUUCUUGUUGCUUUGGGAACUAACUAAUAUGUACUCUCUCCGUUCCAAAAUAGAUGACUCAACUUUAUACUAACUUUGUACUAAAGUUAGUAUAAAGUUGAGUCAUCUAUUUUGGAACGGAGGGAGUAAUAUUUUGUUGCUUUGGUAAUUAGUGUUCUGUCAGCAUAUACGUGUGUUCACUCUGUAUUUCUUCUCGCUGUACUAGUUAAUUUCUACUAGUAAUUUUUAGUUGUUAAAUACUGUCGUGUUGAUCUGUGGGUACUAAUCUUGUGGCUUGUAAGAUUUCGUUUCUGUUGUCACUUGUGUAACCUGAACCGUGGUGUAGUAUCCUGUUCGCAUAUGUGUGGUUUUGUGUGUUCUGUAGUCCCUGUAUUAGCUAUGUACCUGUGAUAUAUAAAUGUGUGUGUGUGUUUGAUUUGAAACAAUUAUAUUUUGUCAUAUAUUCUCGCUUCUUCCCUCUGUUUAUGUUUGAUAGUGAUGUGUCCUUGUCUUGUAGCUUUAAUUGAUAUUGACUCCUGUUUGUGUUAGUAUUGUAGAUUCUCAAGUAAUACAAAAAUACUAAAAAGACAGAUUAAAAAUAAUCUUCAUCUCCCUUUGCUUCUUUGUCAUUUUCUUUGUUGAUGAUCCUUGUUGGUGUUAGGUUUAUUUUCUGUUUUCAUCAUUCAAUUGGGUCACCUAGCUUUAGUCGAACGUAGUUAGCCGUUGCCUAGUCCUUGUGAAGAACACGACACUCGCAGUUUGGGCGUAAAACCCCACUAUACUUACAAUUGAUCAGUUAUGCAUGCGUGCGCAGCUUUCACUUUUUUACCCCGAGGAGUAUGUGGCCAUGACUACAAUGCUCGAGAAGGUUUGGAAAAAGUUCACUGCACAAGCUCCGGGACUGCCGGGGGAGCUGCGAUUUACACACCCAUAAUGGUUGUGGCAGGAACCCAGGAAUAAUUACUGUGGAUACUACGUUUGCGAGUUCAUACGCCACACGACAUGUGAGCGGGCUACUCUAAAAACAAUAUGAAAUGUUUCAGAUGUGGGAUGAACUCUUACCAUAAGAUCGCAUACGAGCAAUUCAAGAGGAAUUGGCGGGAUUCUUUCUUGACCACGUCAUCAAUAAAGACAGAGAGUACCAUGUGGAACUUUAGUUCAGAUGUUAGGGGAUUGUAAGAGAUCUUAUAUUGUAUAUAUAUAGCCAGUAGUGUCGGAUAGAUAUACGAGAACUUGUUGUUCGACCAAUCUCUCAGAGAAGGAGGGGUUGAUCACUUCUCUCUGUAUAUGUUCAUGACGAUCUUCUGAAUUUAAUGGUUUCCUUCAUUUGCUUA